GCCUGCAGAAUUGUUCCUUCAAGAUGGGAAUGAAUUUGAAGUUGAUCCUUCAUAGGACUACACCCAAAUCAGGCAAAAGAUUACUGGUGGAUGAUCAAAGGAACUCAACGACUCUUUAGACGUGCUAAAAAUCUCAACGUCUCUCUACUCACCACUAUAUAAAGGAGUGAAGACUUGAAGAUUGGUAGAGACAUCAACACAAGUUAAAAGCGCCAAAACUCUUCCAAAUUUGAUUCUAAAAGCACUCUGAAUUUCUGCACUGAUUUGAUAUAUCUUAGAAAUUCUUAAGUCUAGAGUCUUUUAUUGCAUUGUAUUGUGAACACCACUGAUUGUAUAUCAAGUGUUCAAGUCAAACAAUUUUCUGUGUAAUUCUGUUUGAUUAGAAGUCUCUCGCCUGCGUGCUUGAGCAUUAGAAGUCUCUUGCUUUAGUGCUUGAGCAUUGGAAGUCUCUCGCCUGCGUGCUUGAGCAUUUGAGAAGUCUCAUACUAGAUAGUAUUGAGCAGUUGUAAUCUGUGUGAUUAUUUCUUAGUGGAAAUCUCCUUGGAAGUGCAAGGGGGACUGGACUACUUCCGGUUUGUGGAAGGAACCAGGAUAAUUGCUUGUGUCUCUCUUUCUUUUCUCUGCUCUGUUUUUAUUCCGCUG
rnacentral:lncRNA from 1 species